UACGAAGGGUGCAAGCGUUACUCGGAAUUACUGGGCGUAAAGCGUGCGUAGGUGGUUUGUUAAGUCUGUUGUGAAAGCCCCGGGCUCAACCUGGGAAUGGCAAUGGAUACUGGCAGGCUAGAGUGCGGUAGAGGGUAGUGGAAUUCCCGGUGUAGCGGUGAAAUGCGUAGAGAUCGGGAGGAACACCAGUGGCGAAGGCGGCUCGCUGGGCAGUGGCUGACGCUGAGGCGCGACAGCGUGGGGAGCAAACAGG
rnacentral:rRNA from 1 species